GGGUUGUGAGGUUAAGCGACUAAGCGUACACGGUGGAUGCCCUGGCAGUCAGAGGCGAUGAAGGGCGUGCUAAUCUGCGAUAAGCGCCGGUAAGGUGAUAUGAACCGUUAUAACCGGCGAUACCCGAAUGGGGAAACCCAGUGUGACUCGUCACACUAUCAUUAACUGAAUCCAUAGGUUAAUGAGGCGAACCGGGGGAACUGAAACAUCUAAGUACCCCGAGGAAAAGAAAUCAACCGAGAUUCCCCCAGUAGCGGCGAGCGAACGGGGAGGAGCCCAGAGCCUGAAUCAGCAUGUGUGUUAGUGGAAGCGUCUGGAAAGGCGCGCGAUACAGGGUGACAGCCCCGUACACAAAAGCGCAUGUGCUGUGAGCUCGAUGAGUAGGGCGGGACACGUGGUAUCCUGUCUGAAUAUGGGGGGACCAUCCUCCAAGGCUAAAUACUCCUGACUGACCGAUAGUGAACCAGUACCGUGAGGGAAAGGCGAAAAGAACCCCGGCGAGGGGAGUGAAAAAGAACCUGAAACCGUGUACGUACAAGCAGUGGGAGCACCCUUUGGGGUGUGACUGCGUACCUUUUGUAUAAUGGGUCAGCGACUUAUAUUCUGUAGCAAGGUUAACCGAAUAGGGGAGCCGGAGGGAAACCGAGUCUUAACCGGGCGUUAAGUUGCAGGGUAUAGACCCGAAACCCGGUGAUCUAGCCAUGGGCAGGUUGAAGGUUGGGUAACACUAACUGGAGGACCGAACCGACUAAUGUUGAAAAAUUAGCGGAUGACCUGUGGCUGGGGGUGAAAGGCCAAUCAAACCGGGAGAUAGCUGGUUCUCCCCGAAAGCUAUUUAGGUAGCGCCUCGUGAAUUCAUCUCCGGGGGUAGAGCACUGUUUCGGCUAGGGGGCCAUCCCGGCUUACCAACCCGAUGCAAACUGCGAAUACCGGAGAAUGUUAUCACGGGAGACACACGGCGGGUGCUAACGUCCGUCGUGAAGAGGGAAACAACCCAGACCGCCAGCUAAGGUCCCAAAGUCAUGGUUAAGUGGGAAACGAUGUGGGAAGGCCCAGACAGCCAGGAUGUUGGCUUAGAAGCAGCCAUCAUUUAAAGAAAGCGUAAUAGCUCACUGGUCGAGUCGGCCUGCGCGGAAGAUGUAACGGGGCUAAACCAUGCACCGAAGCUGCGGCAGCGACGCUGAUGCGUUGUUGGGUAGGGGAGCGUUCUGUAAGCCUGCGAAGGUGGCCUGUGAGGGUUGCUGGAGGUAUCAGAAGUGCGAAUGCUGACAUAAGUAACGAUAAAGCGGGUGAAAAGCCCGCUCGCCGGAAGACCAAGGGUUCCUGUCCAACGUUAAUCGGGGCAGGGUGAGUCGACCCCUAAGGCGAGGCCGAAAGGCGUAGUCGAUGGGAAACGGGUUAAUAUUCCCGUACUUGGUGUUACUGCGAAGGGGGGACGGAGAAGGCUAUGUUGGCCGGGCGACGGUUGUCCCGGUUUAAGCGUGUAGGUGUGUGUUCCAGGUAAAUCCGGUUCACUUUAACACUGAGGCGUGAUGACGAGGCACUACGGUGCUGAAGCAACAAAUGCCCUGCUUCCAGGAAAAGCCUCUAAGCAUCAGGUAACAUCAAAUCGUACCCCAAACCGACACAGGUGGUCAGGUAGAGAAUACCAAGGCGCUUGAGAGAACUCGGGUGAAGGAACUAGGCAAAAUGGUGCCGUAACUUCGGGAGAAGGCACGCUGACACGUAGGUGAAGUGAUUUACUCAUGGAGCUGAAGUCAGUCGAAGAUACCAGCUGGCUGCAACUGUUUAUUAAAAACACAGCACUGUGCAAACACGAAAGUGGACGUAUACGGUGUGACGCCUGCCCGGUGCCGGAAGGUUAAUUGAUGGGGUCAGCGCAAGCGAAGCUCCUGAUCGAAGCCCCGGUAAACGGCGGCCGUAACUAUAACGGUCCUAAGGUAGCGAAAUUCCUUGUCGGGUAAGUUCCGACCUGCACGAAUGGCGUAAUGAUGGCCAGGCUGUCUCCACCCGAGACUCAGUGAAAUUGAACUCGCUGUGAAGAUGCAGUGUACCCGCGGCAAGACGGAAAGACCCCGUGAACCUUUACUAUAGCUUGACACUGAACAUUGAGCCUUGAUGUGUAGGAUAGGUGGGAGGCUUUGAAGUGUGGACGCCAGUCUGCAUGGAGCCGACCUUGAAAUACCACCCUUUAAUGUUUGAUGUUCUAACGUGGACCCGUGAUCCGGGUUGCGGACAGUGUCUGGUGGGUAGUUUGACUGGGGCGGUCUCCUCCUAAAGAGUAACGGAGGAGCACGAAGGUUGGCUAAUCCUGGUCGGACAUCAGGAGGUUAGUGCAAUGGCAUAAGCCAGCUUGACUGCGAGCGUGACGGCGCGAGCAGGUGCGAAAGCAGGUCAUAGUGAUCCGGUGGUUCUGAAUGGAAGGGCCAUCGCUCAACGGAUAAAAGGUACUCCGGGGAUAACAGGCUGAUACCGCCCAAGAGUUCAUAUCGACGGCGGUGUUUGGCACCUCGAUGUCGGCUCAUCACAUCCUGGGGCUGAAGUAGGUCCCAAGGGUAUGGCUGUUCGCCAUUUAAAGUGGUACGCGAGCUGGGUUUAGAACGUCGUGAGACAGUUCGGUCCCUAUCUGCCGUGGGCGCUGGAGAACUGAGGGGGGCUGCUCCUAGUACGAGAGGACCGGAGUGGACGCAUCACUGGUGUUCGGGUUGUCAUGCCAAUGGCACUGCCCGGUAGCUAAAUGCGGAAGAGAUAAGUGCUGAAAGCAUCUAAGCACGAAACUUGCCCCGAGAUGAGUUCUCCCUGAGACUUAAAGUCUCCUGAAGGAACGUUGAAGACGACGACGUUGAUAGGCCGG
rnacentral:rRNA from 1 species